rnacentral:rRNA from 1 species
AGAGUUUGAUCAUGGCUCAGAGCGAACGCUGGCGGCAGGCUUAACACAUGCAAGUCGAGCGGGCGUAGCAAUACGUCAGCGGCAGACGGGUGAGUAACGCGUGGGAACGUACCUUUUGGUUCGGAACAACACAGGGAAACUUGUGCUAAUACCGAAUAAGCCCUUACGGGGAAAGAUUUAUCGCCGAAAGAUCGGCCCGCGUCUGAUUAGCUAGUUGGUGAGGUAACGGCUCACCAAGGCGACGAUCAGUAGCUGGUCUGAGAGGAUGAUCAGCCACAUUGGGACUGAGACACGGCCCAAACUCCUACGGGAGGCAGCAGUGGGGAAUAUUGGACAAUGGGCGCAAGCCUGAUCCAGCCAUGCCGCGUGAGUGAUGAAGGCCCUAGGGUUGUAAAGCUCUUUUGUGCGGGAAGAUAAUGACGGUACCGCAAGAAGAGAC